UUGUUGGUAAGGUAAAAGCUUACCAAGGCUUCGAUCAGUAGCUGGUCUGAGAGGACGACCAGCCACACUGGGACUGAGACACGGCCCAAACUCCUACGGGAGGCAGCAGUGGGGAAUUUUGGACAAUGGGGGCAACCCUGAUCCAGCCAUGCCGCGUGAGUGAAGAAGGCCUUCGGGUUGUAAAGCUCUUUCAGCCGGAACGAAACGGUUACGGAUAAUACCCGUGACUACUGACGGUACCGGAAGAAGAAGCACCGGCUAACUACGUGCCAGCAGCCGCGGUAAUACGUAGGGUGCGAGCGUUAAUCGGAAUUACUGGGCGUAAAGCGUGCGCAGGUGGUUUUGUAAGUCAGAUGUGAAAGCUCCGGGCUCAACCUGGGAACUGCGUUUGAAACUACAAGACUAGAGUGUGGCAGAGGGGGGUGGAAUUCCGCGUGUAGCAGUGAAAUGCGUAGAGAUGUGGAGGAACACCGAUGGCGAAGGCAGCCCCCUGGGUCAACACUGACGCUCAGGCACGAAAGCAUGGGGAGCAAACAGGAUUAGAUACCCUGGUAGUCCAUGCCCUAAACGAUGUCAACUAGUUGUCGGGCCUUUACGGGCUUGGUAACGUAGCUAACGCGUGAAGUUGACCGCCUGGGGAGUACGAUCGCAAGAUUAAAACUCAAAUGAAUUGACGGGGACCCGCACAAGCGGUGGAUUAUGUGGAUUAAUUCGAUGCAACGCGAAAAACCUUACCUACCCUUGACAUGUAUCGAAGCCCGCAGAAAAGCGGGGGUGCCCGAAAGGGAACGAUAACACAGGUGCUGCAUGGCUGUCGUCAGCUCGUGUCGUGAGAUGUUGGGUUAAGUCCCGCAACGAGCGCAACCCUUGUCAUUAAUUGCCAUCAUUUAGUUGGGCACUUUAAUGAGACUGCCGG
rnacentral:rRNA from 1 species